AUGGUCAUCACACUUUGGUCCAUAUGGUAUGCUAGAAGAAAAGCUAUCUAUGAAUCGAUUUUUCAGAGCCCAACAUCUUUCAUUAAUAACUACAUUGACGAGCUGGGCCAAUUGAGAACCGGAGGAGUGCAUGAAGGUAAUCCCAGUGUUGCAACACCACGACAGAAGCGGUGGCUUCCUCCACCGAGCGGCAUUGCGAAGAUUAACGUUGAUGGGGCUGUGGUUAGAUCACGGAGAGGUGGGGCAGUUGCAGCUUUAUGCCGCGACCAGGUCGGGCAUUAUUUGAGGUCAUCGGCGGUGGUUUACCACGGGAUUACUGAUCCCUUAACUUUGGAGACUUAUGCAUGCCGCGAGGCCCUUGCUUUGGCGGACGAUCUGGGACAGCAGAAAAUUUGCGUGGCCUCGGACUGCCAAGAGGCGGUGAAUGACAUCAACAGCGGAACAGGAGGCCCCAAUGCUGCGUUGGUACAUGAAAUAAUGAACCAUUGUAAUAGCUUUAUUUCUUGCUCUUUUGUUUCGAGCGUAGGAACUUUAAUUUUAAAGCUCAUAAUCUCGCCAAGUUUGUUUGUAACCUAG
rnacentral:rRNA from 1 species